CGUUCGCGAACCGAAAAUUUCGGGUUCGCGACAUCACUAUGUAUGAUCAGCAUAUCCAGUAAGUACAGAAUAGGCGACUAUUUUUAGUAAUAAAAUCCUGAGUGCAACUUCUGCACACACUAACAUAAGCUUAUUUGAAGGGUUAUUCGCUAUAGUAAGACUAGUCAGGAAUUUUAAAAACUGGAAAUUCAAUUUGAAUUAUUUUUGAAUUCCCAAUUAUUUUCACAUAAAAAACCCCCACUGUUUGAAGGAGCUUAUCAGAGGCAGGCCAUGAAGACCCCUAAGAAGGUUCCAUAAUGACUCCACACUAGCCACACCUUCAGCCACACCCC